rnacentral:rRNA from 1 species
UACGUAGGUUGCAAGCGUUGUCCGGAUUUACUGGGUGUAAAGGGCGUGUAGGCGGAGAUGCAAGUUGGGAGUGAAAUCCAUGGGCUCAACCCAUGAACUGCUCUCAAAACUGUAUCCCUUGAGUAUCGGAGAGGCAAGCGGAAUUCCUAGUGUAGCGGUGAAAUGCGUAGAUAUUAGGAGGAACACCAGUGGCGAAGGCGGCUUGCUGGACGACAACUGACGCUGAGGCGCGAAAGCGUGGGGAGCAAACAGGAUUAGAUACCCUGGUAGUCCACGCUGUAAACGAUGAAUACUAGGUGUGGGAGGACUGACCCCUUCCGUGCCGCAGUUAACACAAUAAGUAUUCCACCUGGGGAGUACGACCGCAAGGUUGAA